GCUGGCAGAGGCAACUGGAGCAGAAGCCACCAAAGUCCUUGGCACUGUCAAAUGGUUCAACGUCAGAAAUGGAUAUGGAUUUAUAAAUCGAAAUGACACCAAAGAAGAUGUAUUUGUACAUCAGACUGCCAUCAAGAAGAAUAACCCACGGAAAUAUCUGCGCAGUGUAGGAGAUGGAGAAACUGUAGAGUUUGAUGUGGUUGAAGGAGAGAAGGGUGCAGAAGCUGCCAAUGUGACUGGCCCGGAUGGAGUUCCUGUGGAAGGGAGUCGUUACGCUGCAGAUCGGCGCCGUUACAGACGUGGCUACUAUGGAAGGCGCCGUGGCCCUCCCCGGAAUAUCUCUGAUGUAUGGUUUAAUAGAAGAUAGCUGGAUUCUCACAUCUGUUUCUGCAUUCAGUCUGCUGAGAGACCACAUGUCAUUGUAGCCUUUGGGAGACCCCACCAUAUACUUCUGAGAGAAUGCCUGGGAAAGGCAAAUAGCAUCUUAGUAAUAUUAUGGCAAUAGUUUGACCUCGCUGACCCCCUGGAAGUUUUCAGAAAUCCCAUCCACACUUUACAGACUUGUAGGAAGAAUACCACUUGGGUCAAAUAUGUUGGUAACAUCAUAAAAUGUAUUCUUUUUUGGCUUUUCCCUGACAUUGCCUCAGUGGAUGGUAAAUGCUGGGAGACACGCAUUUGAUGGAGCAAAAAUUAUAAACCUUGCAGAUACUCUUCGGGUGGUUGGUUAGCUGAUACGAGUUCUAAUGAGAUGACUAUUAAAUUGAUUGUAGAUUGA
rnacentral:lncRNA from 10 species